rnacentral:pre_miRNA from 1 species
AAAAAAGCAAACUGUGGGUUCCCGUGCCAACGUUUGACUGUCCGUCUUAUAUAAUUUUUUUUAUAAUUAUUAUUUUCGUUGUUGUUAGAUGAUAAAACAUGAUUAAUACUUUAUACGUGACUUAUCUUUUUAAUUUUUUUUAUAAUUUUUUUAAAUAAGACGGACGGUCAAACGUUGGACACGAAAAUCAGGGUUUGUCUUUUU